rnacentral:rRNA from 1 species
UACGGGGGGGGCAAGCGUUGUUCGGAAUUACUGGGCGUAAAGGGCUCGUAGGCGGCCAACUAAGUCAGACGUGAAAUCCCUCGGCUUAACUGGGGAACGGCCUCUGAUACUGGCUGGCUGGAGUUCGGGAGAGGGAUGCGGAAUUCCAGGUGUAGCGGUGAAAUGCGUAGAUAUCUGGAGGAACACCGGUGGCGAAGGCGGCAUCCUGGACCGACACUGACGCUGAGGAGCGAAAGCCAGGGGAGCAAACGGG